rnacentral:rRNA from 1 species
CGCCCUUCCAGCAGCCGCGGUAAUACGUAGGGGGCCAGCGUUACCCAGAUUUACUGGGCGUAAAGCGCGUGUAGGCGGUUGGUCAAGUCGGGUGUGAAAGCCUGGGGCUCAGCUCCAGAAGUGCAUCCGAUACUAGCCAGCUAGAGCGCGAUAGAGGAGGGUGGAAUUCCCGGUGUAGCGGUGAAAUGCGUAGAGAUCGGGAGGAAGGCCGGUGGCGAAGGCGGCGCUCUGGAACGUUUCUGACGCUGAGGCUCGAAAGCGUGGGGAGCAAACAGGAUUAGAUACCCUGGUA